GUUGGGACCGUGGUCUCGCCGUAGCGGGGCCGCCUCUGGGGCGGCUCUCGGGGGUGGGGGCCGCUCCGUCGCAGCCUCACCGGGUUGGGGGGGAAGCCACAGUCUUCCUCCCCUGCUGGAGGUGGGGGAGACACGGGUCGUCCCUGCCCCGAGGCCCUCUGCCACGUCCGGCCCGUUCAGCUCCCCGCUCAAGAUGGCGGCGGGGGAAUCAUCAUCCCUGGAGUCCUUGGAUGUAGCUCUCAGGAGGAUGCAGAAGUCAAGCCUUGUGGAAAUGA